rnacentral:rRNA from 1 species
GACGAACGCUGGCGGCGUGCUUAACACAUGCAAGUCGAACGGAAAGGCCCUGCUUUUGUGGGGUGCUCGAGUGGCGAACGGGUGAGUAACACGUGAGUAACCUGCCCUUGACUUUGGGAUAACUUCAGGAAACUGGGGCUAAUACCGGAUAGGAGCUCCUGCUGCAUGGUGGGGGGUGGAAAGUUUCGGCGGUUGGGGAUGGACUCGCGGCUUAUCAGCUUGUUGGUGGGGUAGUGGCUUACCAAGGCUUUGACGGGUAGCCGGCCUGAGAGGGUGACCGGCCACAUUGGGACUGAGAUACGGCCCAGCCUCCUACGGGAGGCAGCAGUGGGGAAUAUUGCACAAUGGGCGGAAGCCUGAUGCAGCAACGCCGCGUGCGGGAUGACGGCCUUCGGGUUGUAAACCGCUUUCGCCUGUGACGAAGCGUGAGUGACGGUAAUGGGUAAAGAAGCACCGGCUAACUACGUG